rnacentral:rRNA from 1 species
UACGUAGGGGGCUAGCGCUGUCCGGAAUCAUUGGGCGUAAAGCGCGUGUAGGCGGUCCGGUAAGUCCGCUGUGAAAGUCGGGGGCUCAACCCUCGGAUGCCGGUGGAUACUGUCGGGCUUGAGUACGGAAGAGGCGAGUGGAAUUCCUGGUGUAGCGGUGAAAUGCGCAGAUAUCAGGAGGAACACCAAUUGCGAAGGCAGCUCGCUGGGACGUUACUGACGCUGAGACGCGAAAGCGUGGGGAGCAAACAGG